rnacentral:rRNA from 1 species
AGCAGCAGCCACGGUAAUACAGAGGGUGCGAGCGUUAAUCGGAUUUACUGGGCGUAAAGCGUGCGUAGGCGGCUUCUUAAGUCGGAUGUGAAAUCCCUGAGCUUAACUUAGGAAUUGCAUUUGAUACUGGGAAGCUAGAGUAUGGGAGAGGAUGGUAGAAUUCCAGGUGUAGCGGUGAAAUGCGUAGAGAUCUGGAGGAAUACCGAUGGCGAAGGCAGCCAUCUGGCCUAAUACUGACGCUGAGGUACGAAAGCAUGGGGAGCAAACAGGAUUAGAUACCCCCGUAGUCCCUGUCUCUUAUAC